AGUCACUCAAAGAGGACACUAUUGUAAGGGUCUCAUAAGAAACCAAACCUUGACCGAAAUAUUAUCUACAAGCUCUGUGUGCGUGCGUGUGUGUGUGCAUGUGUGUGUUUGUGGGCGCGACAACAUCUCCCCUCGUCAUUUAUAUCAGAUUCUUUCGAUGGAUGGAGAAGUCUCAACAGUUGCCUCAGCUUGAGUUGUCUUGGGCAGUUCCUCAGAGUAAACACUCUGUUGAGUUUGCUUGUUGCUGUCCUUUGUCGCCUGAACUCUACUCUUGUAGCGGACAGCUUCCUGUUUAUAGUCAACUAGCCUCGCAGCACAAUGAACCUCGACCCUCCACACUGUGCUUUGCUAAUAGAUGGAUAAUAAUCCAGUUUUGAAGAAAGUGGACAAAAUAUAUGAUGAAUGAAUAUUGUUGGACGAUGUAUAAAUAUUUCUUCAUAUGGCUGCUGAAUUUUAAAAUAUGUGGAGGCGAAUAUACAGAAGGGCCUACAUUUAUAUUUCCACAAAAUGCUGAUGACAUAAUAAUCGUGGCGGAGAACACGGAGCUUCGGAUACCGUUUGCAAUGGAUGGUCUGGACAACAUCCAGCAGACCAGAGACGUGGUGCUGACCGUGGAGAAAACCCAACAGAAAUCACCAGCCUGAAGUUUCACCACUCGCCAUCAGCAGCAACAGUCACUGUUGACCAGAAUUCGUCGGCAGUUGUCAGCUGCUCGUGGAACCAUGGUAACCCACCCCAGACGGUCCGUCUGCUGGACGGAAGGCGACAGGUGCUGAAUAUAUCUGAUCGCUACUCCGCUAUCAGCUACCUGGAGCACACCUGGCGGUCAGUGACCUGUGACGAUGCUGGUGUCUUCACGUGCGAGGCUGCAGGUGCUGACGUCAACAGGAGCGUGAUGCUGUUAGUCCGUUGUAAACCAGAAUUCGAGGCUGACAACCAACAGAAACAUUUCUCCAUCAAAGAGCUAACCCAGGCUGCAAGACUUUAUUUUCAUGUUAGAAUCCAUUCCCUAAACCUAACAGACUGUCAGAUGGAGAAAAUAUCGUUGGUCUCGGAUGUUACUGGAAGCUUCUACAGGACAAACGAAACCUUCUUGUGUUCUUUAAGCGGACAUCCUCCUGAUUGCACUCUGACCCUGGAACUUUUUCAAAUCAACGACACCGACAAUGGAUUAUGGCGCCUCCAGAUCACCAACGACUUUGGAACAUCAACCGUUGAGUUCACCAUCAUCGUGAUCAAGGGUACGUAACUAGUCAUCGUGAUCAAGGGUACGUAACUAGUCAUCGUGAUUAAGGGUACGUAAGUAGUCAUCGUGGUCAAGGGUACGUAACUAGUCAUCGUGAUCAAGGGUACGUAACUAGUCAUCGUGGUCAAGGGUUCGUAACUAGUUCGCACCAAUCCGGAUCAAUGAAUGGUUUUGAUCGAUCCUAGGCAGACGUACUUCCCUGCACUCUGGAGACCCACAACUUUUAUUUUGCAUAACGGUUAAUUAACUGUAUUAAAGUGGUAUGACGAAUAAUAUUUAAGUAAUGUACUUUCAGACAGACAGCAGUCCAUCUAUACACAUCUGUGUUAUUUCCUUUCGUUUAAAAAUGUUGGGUUUAAGAAAUCAACAUAUUCUAUUUAAAUGUUCACCGAGAAGGAAGGUUUCACACAUUGUGUGUGUGGGUGUGUACCUUACAGUGAACUUUACAAGAGGUCAAGUCAACACGGACAACUCUCAAGUCUUGAAGGAAGCAAAUGUGAGGGAAAAGCCAUGAAGUGUUCGGGAGGAUAUAAAUAAAUUUCAAUAGUAACUUGAUAUAAAUAAAUUUCAAUAGUAACCUGGAGUGGUGAAGUGGCCGCAAAAUAUACCGCAGUGACAGGGACAAUAUUGCGCUAGUGAAAAGAGGGCGGUCUGGGUUCAUAUUUAGCGGUCCGCAGACCCCACCCUCUCACGAUAUAACUAAAAAGCUAAUAAUAAAUCUGAUGAUGUGAUUCAUUAUUCAGACUCAUUUCAUGACAUGAUACUGUUGUUAUUGCAGCUGUUCUAUGUGGAUCUGAUGGUUAAUUUUACGGAACAUCAGCGAGAGUCGGCCGUUUGACAAAGUCGUUGGUCAGUCUGACUACUAUAUUCACCCCCAGGUCAUCUGAACAGUAGGGGUCACUGAGUGGCGAGGUUAUUUCCUUAUGUCGACACCAGUGGCGGUAAUUUGAAGCCUUAAAUAUAGGGAACAUCAUCGUGGCAGCUGAAUACUGACAAUCCCGUCAGUCGGUUGGACUCCAUCUUUGUAAAGGGAAGUUCCUCGUGAAUAGGGACAGUUCCGAGGGCUGAAGUAAGGAUCAGUUCCGAGAGGUUUAGUGUGUGGGCACAUCUGAAUAAGUCAAAACAUCUGUUCUAUGUAGAUGUAGAAUCAGUUUCUAAGAGAUUAGGGUAGAAAAUCUGUCUCCAUAAGUGUUAGUAGGCUAGGGGCAGUGGUGUUGAUAGGUGACAGGUUUUGAUAGGUUAGAAUCAAACUGUACAAGACCUAAAGGACUUGGGAAGCAGUCUUUAUAGGGCAUAAAAUGCUAAAGAAAACAGUCUCUACAAGCUCAGGUUGGCUAGGUUAUACCUCCACAAAGCCUAGUAGGCUAGACACCCAUUCACCAUAGGCACUACUUGGCAACAUCACUUUGUCGCGUGCUUAGGUGGUUGGAGGAGACCUCUCUCUCUCUUCAGAUUCAGAAAGUGAGAAAAUCUCGCUAGAGCACAACAUUUUGGUUGUCAUCAAAAGACUGUAGGCCUGCAAGCCAAAUAAUCGUUUGACUUCAUCGAAGAUAAGACAAUGAUUGAGCAUCGAUGUGUCUCAGCGAUGACCCUCGUUCGACCAUUGCGCCCUCGUUCACUUACUUGUACAUUACUUGUUCUGCAGCUGCUCCUAGAAAGUACAGCCCAAGCCCUCGUUUUCGUGUUCCCCAACCACUCUGAUGACGUCAUCACAGUUCCAGAAAACACCGAGAUUCGAAUACCGUUUGGUCUUGAGGGUCUGGAGAGUCUUCAGCAAAGUCAGCUCAUUAUAAGUGUGUACAACUCAACAGGGCAAAGUAUGCUGAAGAUAUGUUCGAUCAUUUAUUACUCGAAUAACAGGUCCUACAUGAUUUCUGACGAGAGGGGCAUCUGUGUCAACCACACCGGCCCAGUGCCUCUCAUGUUCAGGACCAGGGUGUCGCGCUGGGAUGACAAGAAUACACUUGUCUGGCAAGUGAUCGGAGUGAAAGAUCUCGAAAAAGCUUUGAGGCUCGAAGUCACGUAUCCAGCGACAGUAGUUAGCCUUACCUUCACCCAUGAACCAUCAGCGAAUACUUCAAUCGUUGAGGAGGGGUCAACUUCGGUCCAGCUGCUCUGUUUGUGGGUCAACGGCAACCCUCCCUCUGCUGCCCGUCUUCUGGACCGAGAGAGACAGGUGUUAACACAACCUGACCACGGCACAACCAAUGACAACCUUACGUACAGACUGACGUACAGUCCCACGAAAAUCAACUGCAACAGCUCCGGGGUCAUCACGUGCGAGGUUGUAGGGGCAGAGGUCAACAGAAGCGUUACACUCUUGGUCAGAUGCCCACCGGAAUUCCAAGCAGUCAAUGGCACUCCAAUUAAGUUCGACAACCGGAACAGAUCCGUGCGAAUAGAAUACAGAGUGCGAGCCCACACCAAUGUCAUCGAGAAAUGUGAAGUCAAGAAACUUCAAUCAACCUCCCAGAAAGUCCUGGCCUUCCUGCUGCCAAAGACUGCCUUCAGGUGCCUCCUGACCGGCCAGCCUCCGGACCUGAUGCUGACCGUUGUCAUGGACGACAUGAAUUAUGUCAUUGAAGGGGCAGAACAACUGUGGCGACUGGAGCUGACCAAUGACAAAGGGACAGGAAGUGUGGAGUUCUCUCUGCCCAUUGUGGACGAAAGGGUCCCCACCUCUCUUCUGAAUAUCAAGACCCUAGGAUCACUUGCGCUAUGCCUGUUCAUCUGCAACAGUCGUCGUUUUCCAAAGCGUUGUAACAUUAACGUAGAUUUUGAAUAAAAUACAUGUUCUGCAAAAUCUGAUUUGACUAAUAUCCCAAAUUGUUCAAACACGGUGAUUAACGUAAUUUAAAAAUGUCGAUAAGAUUCAUUAAACCACACUUUCCUUAUUAACUUUAAAAGUCUAGCGGUAAGUAAUUUUGUUGAGUCUCUUUGAAGCCCCCUACGUCCGAUUGGGAGCUACAACACAGGCCCUUGUCAAAGCCCAGUGAAAUUGAGCAUAACAAUACGAUAAUAUAUGAAAAAGACAAAAAAAGCUGGACAGAAGAACACAGUUUUGGUUAAAGUUUUAACGAUCAAUCAGCUUUCUAUUUGCUAGACUAUCAAUCAGUUAAUCCCGAACUUACACUCAGCCAUCUACAGGGUAUGAAGUCAACAAUAGUCUAUAUUUGAAACUCACAUUAAUAAUAGUAAUGACGAAAAUAAUAACGACGACGACGACGACGACGACGACGACGACGACAACAACAACAACAACAACAACAACAACAACAACAACAACAACAACAACAACAACAACAACAACAACAACAACAAAAAAGAAACUCGAAGAUUUAAUGACUCGAAAGAAAAGAUGACUCAGACUCACCUCAACUACUUUCUAGUAAGUAGAUUACUCUCUUCUAACAAGUGCGCAUAGGAAAACCAAUAAAAAGUUGUAGCUACGACAAUCAAUCAAUCAAUCAAUCAAUCAAUCAAUUGAUCAAUCAAUCAAUGUCUUUUUCGUUCUUUGUUACGUUUGUCUUCUCUGUCUGAUUGUUUAUCUUGUUUCUUCAUUUUCUCCGAAGCUCGUCAGGCUACCUGAUUUGUUGUCUUUACACAAAAGGCGUGUGGAAGAGAAGUAAAAUUAAAAAUUGUCUGAACUUGUCUAUCAGCCAAUAAAGACAGCUAAGUACACAAACUUUAAAUUUUAUUUCCUGCUUAGAGUUAUUGUAGUCACAGUCCACACAGUAAAGCAGAAUUCUGUAAUGCGGACUUCCAACAGAAUCCGUUGAAGUCAUGUUACUAACAGUCAGUGUAUGUCUUCCCUGCUUUGUGCCGGUAAUCUGGGAAGUGAUACACUGUACCUCAGGGAAGACCUCUCACAGUCCUUUAAAAUUCCUUAUUAGAAGACUGUACACAACAGCUUCUCACGAUGUUCUCACGGAUGUUCACAGGGAAUUAACUUAAACGUUUUAGCGCUAGGAGUCCAUUGUUGCUAAAAAUAGCCUUCUUUAGUAGGUUAUGAACUUUCCCCACUUACAGCGAGACAAGGAACAAGAGGACAACAGAGACUGUUUGUACACUCGAGUCCUCAGCCAAUAAAUGCACAGUUUCAUACCUUCGUAUGACAUCACGAGUGGAAACCGGGAAACAAACAUUCAGAUUGCCAUGAAAACAGAGGACAAACAAUGUCGGGUCCAUUGGACACAGACGUUCAGAUAAAGCACAAAAGAUAUGAAAGUUAACAGUUUUCGAACCGACAUUUUCGAUAAAUGAUAGUGCAGUGUAUGAACCUUUCAAGAUCUGUGUUAGCUUUGUUGAAGAUAAUUUCUAGAAGUGCUAUCAUCUAAGGUAACACCAAGAAGACACAUUACGACUGUAUUGGUUUUGCUAAUCCUAUCACUUGUUUUCAAAGUGUUUCCGUCUGAAAAAGGAUCUUACCAAGUUUGGACUUUGAAGCAAGACUGUGUGACAACAUGCUGACUGACUGAAAGGACCAGUUUCAAUGUGGUUGUCAAGUGUCCAAGGUCUCGCUGGACUGUUUGUUCUCAGGAUUCUCGUCAGCGGUUACACUUUUACCUUUCCAAACCACACUGAUGACGUGGUCACAGUGGCAGAGAACUCUGAGCUUCGCAUACCGUUUAACAUAAACAUGAAAGAUCUGCAGAAUGACACCCUAAUCUCCUUGGAAACGAUAAAUAAAGGUGUACCGGUAAGGCUGUGCAGCAUCUUGUACAAACUGUCGACAAGGGGGUACGUGGCGUCGGACAGCUCCCUACGGUGCCGCAGGACGUCAGGACCAACGUCCUUUGAACUGACGCUCAACGUUACUCGCCAGGACGACAGGUCGACUCUAGUGUGGAGGUCAUCAGACCAUGCAGACGCCAACAGAACUUUGUCACUAAACAUAACAUAUCCCUACAACAUCACUAAAUUCGUCUUUGUCGGCAACUCAUCUCAAUCAAUGAAGCUCAUUAAUGUCGAUGGCUCUAAUAUAAAUAUUCAUUGUUCUUGGAAACACGGGAACCCAUUAAGAACAGUGCGCAUUGUGGACAGACGAGGGCGAGUUGUGGGCCAGUCGGACAGCACAAGUGGUCACGUGAAUGUUACGUUGUCCAACGUCACGUGUGAGCAGUCAGGUCUGGUCACGUGCGAGGCUGAAGGUGCUGAAGCCAACAGGAGUCUAACAGUUUUGGUUCGAUGCAAACCAUCGUUUCGACCUGAAGACAACAACCGUCGCUUCGCAAUACUACCCAACAUGUCUGCAAUACUACAAUACCAAUACAGAGCACACACAGACAGCGCCAGGGGCUGCCGGGUGUGGAGAGCUCCUCCAGCCAACACCACCACCGAGAACUUACCUUCCUGUAACUCGAGUGGUUUGCCCCCUGACCUCAACCUAACAGUUUCUUUGCACAAUAUUAGUGAAGCUGAUGAAGGCGCCUGGCGCCUGGAGUUGAGCAACGAUGCUGGAAAGAUGGCGUCGACUUCCAUCUGCGGGGUAGUGCAGGACAAAUUGUCUUCAAGCACAGGUUGUUGUGGGCAACUGUAACAAUGUGGUAUUUUCUGUUCAAGAAUUUCUUUCCUGGGAUUUACUGUCUUGUCGGGAUCAUGUAAUAGUGGUUGUUGAAGGCGGCGAUGACACAGUAGAGGUGCACAAGAUUCAAGAUGCGUUUCAAUAUACAAACUAUAUGAAUUACUUAAUGGAAAUUUUUUUCAUGCCGAUAAAAGCUAAGACAGACAUGAAAUUUGUUAAAAACUAAAUGUUAAUAACUCUACUAACUUUGUAGGUCUGAACUACGAUUUUCAAAACUGUCACUGUCAGUGAAACUAGUCUGCGACACUAUGUCUACUAUUGUAGACUAAGUUUGAUCAGUUGAACUGACGUGGUACUCUUUCAGGAAAAAAUGGAAAUAUGUCUUUCUUGAUAAAAAUUUCUGCAGAAGAUUACAGAAGUAUUUUGACUUUUCCUAAAGCACAAAACAACACGCCCAAGCAAAUUAAUUUGCAAUGUAUGGGAGAUAAUGACAAAUUGAACUUGAGUCCAAACAAUUAUAUCGCUGGAGUUGUACUUUUUUCUCUUUCUGUGCUUUCUAAGUUCAUUAUAUUUUGCUCCAAUCAGGCAUUUUGCAAAUAACUAUAUGAGCAGAAACAAUGAUUCGGAACUGUGUGAUCCGUUCUAUAACUGGAAAAGUAGUGUGAAUAGGAUCAUUUUAGUCUUUAAUUAGUUUUUUUACAGGGCUAUGAGCUUGCAUACAUGCCUCGAACAUGGCACUUGAUAAGUACACUUUAUUAUUAUUUGUAUUAUAAAGUCUCCUUGUGCUCAAUAUUUUGUCUUUGUAUCUUAUUAGGAACAACAUUUGUUCUCUACAAUAAUAUUAGUAAGUACGGAUGUUUGUUUACAUGGCAUGAGCAAGAACAGUACUCUGUAUUUAACCAAAAAAAAAAAC